rnacentral:rRNA from 1 species
UACGGAAGGGGCAAGCGUUGUUCGGAAUCACUGGGCGUAAAGGGCGCGUAGGCGGCCUUGCAAGUCGGUUGGUGAAAGCCCGGGGCUCAACCCCGGAGGUGCGGCCGAGACUGCAGGGCUGGAGGCCGGAAGAGGAGGGUGGAAUACCCAGUGUAGAGGUGAAAUUCGUAGAUAUUGGGUGGAACACCGGUGGCGAAAGCGGCUCUCUGGUCCGGACCUGACGCUGAGGCGCGAAAGCGUGGGGAGCGAACAGG